AGAUCAGACUGAACUAUCGCCUACCUGCUUGUUGGGUAGGAGGAAAGUCCGGGCUCCAUAGAGAAUAGUGCCGGGUAACUCCCGGGCAUCGAAUUUAUUUGAUGACAGAUAGUGCCACAGAGAUAUACCGCCUAAGGGUACGCAAUGUUUACUUUUAGGUAAGGGUGAAAAGGUAGGGUAAGAGCCUACCGGGGAAACAGUAAUGUUUUUUGCUAGGUAAACCUCACUAGGAGCAAAGUCAAGCAGUAACUUUUAGGUUUCUCGCCUUUACAAGGUUACGGGUAGACUGCUAGAACAGUAGAGUAAUAGACUGUGUAGAUAGAUGAUAGUUUAAACAGAACUCGGCUUAUAGGUCUGAUUUUUUU
rnacentral:RNase_P_RNA from 2 species